rnacentral:rRNA from 1 species
AACGCCGCGUGGAGGAUGACGGUCUUCGGAUUGUAAACUCCUGUCAUCGGGGAGUAAGACCUGACGGUAAAUAGCCGGCAGGGUUGAUAGUACCCGAAGAGGAAGGGACGGCUAACUUCGUGCCAGCACCGUCGGUGACUGAGCGGGCUGGCAAGGCGCAUA